GGGGAAUAUUGCACAAUGGGGGAAACCCUGAUGCAGCGACGCCGCGUGGAGGAAGAAGGUCUUCGGAUUGUAAACUCCUGUUGUUGAGGAAGAUAAUGACGGUACUCAACAAGGAAGUGACGGCUAACUACGUGCCAGCAGCCGCGGUAAAACGUAGGUCACAAGCGUUGUCCGGAAUUACUGGGUGUAAAGGGAGCGCAGGCGGGAAGACAAGUUGGAAGUGAAAUCUAUGGGCUCAACCCAUAAACUGCUUUCAAAACUGUUUUUCUUGAGUAGUGCAGAGGUAGGCGGAAUUCCCGGUGUAGCGGUGGAAUGCGUAGAUAUCGGGAGGAACACCAGUGGCGAAGGCGGCCUACUGGGCACCAACUGACGCUGAGGCUCGAAAGUGUGGGUAGCAAACAGGAUUAGAUACCCUGGUAGUCCACACCGUAAACGAUGAUUACUAGGUGUUGGAGGAUUGACCCCUUCAGUGCCGCAGUUAACACAAUAAGUAAUCCACCUGGGGAGUACGACCGCAAGGUUGAAACUCAAAGGAAUUGACGGGGGCCCGCACAAGCAGUGGAGUAUGUGGUUUAAUUCGACGCAACGCGAAGAACCUUACCAAGUCUUGACAUCCCUUGACGAACAUAGAAAUAUGUUUUCUCUUCGGAGCAAGGAGACAGGUGGUGCAUGGUUGUCGUCAGCUCGUGUCGUGAGAUGUUGGGUUAAGUCCCGCAACGAGCGCAACCCUUAUGGUCAGUUACUACGCAAGAGGACUCUGGCCAGACUGCCGUUGACAAAACGGAGGAAGGUGGGGAUGACGUCAAAUCAUCAUGCCCUUUAUGACUUGGGCUACACACGUACUACAAUGGCGUUAAACAAAGAGAAGCAAGACCGCGAGGUGGAGCAAAACUCAGAAACAACGUCCCAGUUCGGACUGCAGGCUGCAACUCGCCUGCACGAAGUCGGAAUUGCUAGUAAUCGCAGAUCAGCAUGCUGCGGUGAAUACGUUCCCG
rnacentral:rRNA from 1 species